UAUAAAUUCCAUUGCCUACACACAUGAAGGUAAAGCCAUAUUUACAUUACACUGAAAAUCAAUCUGACAAUUUCAGACACAAUCAAAUUUUGGACAGCAUUUUAUUAUACAUGAUUAAAUGCUACAAGUUAACACUAAUUCAUGAAGUAAGCUUUUGAGUAUCCUUCACAUUCCAGACCACAAAGCAGUUCAAUUUUAAUAAUAAAACAACGAAACCAGUUACAUUCCCUCAAGUUCUAGAGACGCAUUAACACAUUAACAGUUCAUCUCUCAAAUCCUCGUACAGCAACCUCAACCGAUUAUGCAACAUAGCCACACAAAAAAGUGUUAUUCAGAAGAAGUACAUGUCACAGUGUUGAUGUAAAAGUACCUCAAUAUUGGAAAUUUAGCAGUUAAUGAGUUAGGGAAGAGGAAUAAGGAGGUUAUUGAGGAUAAAGGAAGAUUAUUGGCAGGAACAUAUGCAAGAGCACCAAUAGUACUUGAAAAAGGAGAAGGUUGUAAAGUUUAUGAUGUUGAAGGGAAAGAGUAUUUGGAUUUAUGUGCUGGAAUUGUUGUUAAUGCACUUGAUCAUGAUGACUCCGAUUGGUUGAAAGCUGUUUUGGAUCAAGCUGCUAUACUUACUCAUGUUAGCAAUGUUUUCAACUCCCUUCCUCAUGUGGAACUUGCAAAGCGUUUGGUGACCUCUUCUCUUGUGGACCGUGUAUUUUUCUCAAAUCCUGGAAUUGAAGCAAAUGAGACAGUCAAUUACAUACUGUAGUCAAUAUCACACAAAGAUUGCUGAAACUCAAUGUUAUCAUGAAUGAAGAUUACCUUUUACUUAGUACAUCUUGUUGGGCAAGGAUACUAAUAGUCAAUCAAAUGCUGCUUGGCAUUGUUUCAUUUUAAUUACACAUAAGCAUAAUUGUAAAAAGAGUAAUCAUGACAAAGAAAUCAGAAGGCACCAAAGCAGUUAUGUGAGUAAUUCAGGAAGAAAAGAAUCAAUCAAGCAAUUGUGACCACAUUAAUGAUGAAAUAAUCAUAAACAAACAAGAAUAAGAAGAAACAAAUAUCCUCCCUUAGCCAAUAGUUACAAACUCAAUCAUUAUGGGAAGGGUAGGGAGUGAUUCAGCCGUGUAAGAAAUUUCAGAAAGGCCAACCAAAAGCCUUUCAGUUACACAAGCAUAAACAACAAUAAAUAAUAAAUGGAAAUCAGAAUAAAUAUGGCACUCAGCCAAGAGUUAUACAUGGGAGACAAUUAAGCAAAUCAGAGUUAUUGACAUUUCAGUUACAAUGAACAUAAUUGGUAGCAAUAAUGCACAGCCAUGAAAGGGAUUAAUCAGGGUAAUCAUAGGUCUUAUAGGUUUCUGGUUAUCAAUCGGCAGAUCGAAGGUUUUUUAUAAACCCUUAUAAAAGGCAAGGCACUCAUAUACAGAGAGGAGACUUUGAUAUCACAGAAAAAAUCAGACAGAGAUAUGUCAUAACAGGAAGGAGAAACAAUCAGAGAGUGAAGAAUUCAGUCGAUUCAUAGCAGGUGCAGGGAAUAUCCAGAAACAAGAAUCAGCCAGACUGACAUUCAAGUGGUAAAAGACUGGGGAUACACACUCAGAUAAGCUACUUAUUUCAUUCAUUUACAUAAUUGAAAGACAUUGUCUACUUAGUUUAUGUUCACAAUAUCAAGAGAAUACAAGCACCCAUAUUCCAUUAAGAACUAAAACUAAAUAAUUAAAUCAUGAAAAUUUUAAUAUGUGAUUUGUUUAUGAACAAAUUCCCACCCAAGUUUAGUCACCAUGAACCACCGCCUUCUUCCUUCCCCAUCUCGAACCAGAGACAAUUCGGGACUAGAACAAUUGCUAACCGCCAUCGAAGAAUACUUCAAAAACGGGAAGAUGAUUUCAAUUCGAACCCUCACCAUGAACCACCGCCUUCUUCCUCCCCCUAUUUCUCAACCACUGCCGCGCCGUAGAGAAGAAGAAGAUGAAGGAUUCCAAUUACCCUUUUGGCUUGUGCUUGUGAAAUAGCCAUGGAAGGAUUACGAGGGAGACUGCUCUCCAUUAAUAGAGGCG
rnacentral:lncRNA from 1 species